UGAUCGAAUGGACCCCUGCCUUGGCCA
rnacentral:piRNA from 1 species